rnacentral:rRNA from 1 species
GGCUACACACGUGCUACAAUGGCGCAUACAGAGGGCUGCAAGCUAGCGAUAGUGAGCGAAUCCCAAAAAGUGCGUCGUAGUCCGGAUUGGAGUCUGCAACUCGACUCCAUGAAGUCGGAAUCGCUAGUAAUCGUAGAUCAGAAUGCUACGGUGAAUACGUUCCCGGGCCUUGUACACACCGCCCGUCACACCAUGGGAGUGGGCUGCAAAAGAAGUGGGUAGUUUAACCUUCGGGAGGACGCUCACCACUUUGUGGUUCAUGACUGGGGUGAAGUCGUAACAAGGUAGCCCUAGGGGAACCUGGGGCUGGAUCACCUCCUUA